rnacentral:rRNA from 1 species
GUCCUCUUGGGAUGGGCUAGACUGCUAGUCGAGUGACUCAGGCAAAACGAGUCACGGCACACAGCUCAGUAACACGUGGCUAAUCUGCCCUCGAGACGGGAACAACCCCGGGAAACUGGGGCUAAUUCCUGAUAGGCGAAGUGCCCUGGAAUGAGCCUUCACCUGAAAGGACGAUUAGAUUAUGCUUCUGGUCGUUGCUCGAGGAUGGGGCCGCGGCCGAUCAGGUUGUUGGUGAGGUAACGGCUCACCAAGCCUUUGACCGGUGCGGGCCGUGGGAGCGGGAGCCCGGAGAUGGGCACUGAGACAAGGGCCCAGGCCCUACGGGGCGCAGCAGUCGCGCAAACUUUGCAAUACACGAAAGUGUGACAGGGCUAUCCCGAGUGCCGUCCGCUGAGGAUGGCUUUUAACCAGUCUAGAAAGCUGGUAGAAUAAGGAGAGGGCAAGUCUGGUGUCAGCCGCCGCGGUAAUACCAGCUCUCCGAGUGGUGUGGAUGUUUAUUGGGCCUAAAGCAUCCGUAGCUGGCCAAGUUAGUCCCCUGUUAAACCCAACGAAUUAAUCGUUGGAUUGCGGGGGAUACUGCUCGGCUAGGGGACGAGAGAGGCCGACGGUAUUCUCGGGGUAGGGGUGAAAUCCUAUAAUCCCGGGAAGACCACCAGUGGCGAAGGCUGUCGGCUAGAACGAGCCCGACGGUGAGGGAUGAAAGCUGGGGGAGCGAACCGGAUUAGAUACCCGGGUAGUCCCAGCUGUAAACGAUGCAGGCUAGGUGUUUGGACGGCCACGUGCCGUUCUAGUGCCGCAGGGAAGCUGUUAAGCCUGCCGCCUGGGGAGUACGAUCGCAAGAUUGAAACUUAAAGGAAUUGGCGGGGGAGCACCACAGGGGGUGAAGCUUGCGGUUUAAUUGGAGUCAACGCCGGG